rnacentral:lncRNA from 1 species
GCCCUCUGCUCUAUGGGGCACACAGGGAUGCCCUAUGCUGCCCUAUGGGGCACACAGGGAUGUCCUCUGCUGCCCUAUAGGGCACAAGGGCUGCACUCUGCUCUAUGGGGCACACAGAGAUGCCCUAUGCUGCACUAUAGGGCACACAGGGAUGCACUCUGCUCUAUGGGGCACGCAGGGAUGCCCUAUGCUGCCCUAUAGGGCACGCAGGGAUGCCCUCUGCUCUAUGGGGCACGCAGGGAUGCCCUCUGCUCCCUAUAGGGCACACAGGGCUGCCCUAUUCUCCCCCAUGGGGCACACAGGGCUGCCCUCUGUUGUCCUCUGCUGCCCCAUGGGGCACACAGGGCUGCCCUCUGCUUCCCUAUGGGGCACACAGGGCUGUCCUCCCCUCAUGGCCCUAUGGGGCACACAGGGAUGCCCUCUGCUCCCUAUAGGGCACACAAGGAUGCCCUAUUCUCCCCUAUAGGGCACACAAGGAUGCCCCAUUCUCCCCUAUAGGGCACACAGGGCUGCCCUAUUCUCCCCUAUAGGGCACACAAGGAUUCCCCAUUCUCCCCU